rnacentral:rRNA from 1 species
AAAUUGAAGAGUUUGAUCAUGGCUCAGAUUGAACGCUGGCGGCAGGCCUAACACAUGCAAGUCGAGCGGUAGCACAGAGAGCUUGCUCUCGGGUGACGAGCGGCGGACGGGUGAGUAAUGUCUGGGAAGCUGCCUGAUGGAGGGGGAUAACUACUGGAAACGGUAGCUAAUACCGCAUAA